UGGGACUGCCGCCACAGCCGC
rnacentral:misc_RNA from 1 species